CCUACGGGUGGCAGCAGUGAGGAAUAUUGGUCAAUGGGCGAGAGCCUGAACCAGCCAAGCCGCGUGAGGGAAGACGGUCCUAUGGGUCGUAAACCUCUUUUGUCGGGGAACAAAGCCCGGGACGUGUCCCGGAUUGCGUGUACCCGAAGAAUAAGCAUCGGCUAACUCCGUGCCAGCAGCCGCGGUAAUACGGAGGAUGCGAGCGUUAUCCGGAUUUAUUGGGUUUAAAGGGUGCGAAGGCGGUCUGUUAAGUCAGCGGUAAAAUUGCGGGGCUCAACCCCGUAGUGCCGUUGAAACUGGGAGUCUUGAGUUUGCGAGAAGGAGGCGGAAUGCGCGGUGUAGCGGUGAAAUGCAUAGAUAUCGCGCAGAACUCCGAUUGCGAAGGCAGCAUGCCGGCGCCAGACUGACGCUGAGGCACGAAAGCGUGGGGAUCGAACAGGAUUAGAUACCCGGGUAGUC
rnacentral:rRNA from 1 species